rnacentral:rRNA from 1 species
UCUCGGGGUUCAGCCUUGCUGAAUUAUUCACCCUUGUCUUUUGCGUACUUCUUGUUUCCUUGGUGGGUUCGCCCACCACUAGGACAAACAUAAACCUUUUGUAAUUGCAAUCAGCGUCAGUAACAAAUUAAUAAUUACAACUUUCAACAACGGAUCUCUUGGUUCUGGCAUCGAUGAAGAACGCAGCGAAAUGCGAUAAGUAGUGUGAAUUGCAGAAUUCAGUGAAUCAUCGAAUCUUUGAACGCACAUUGCGCCCUUUGGUAUUCCAAAGGGCAUGCCUGUUCGAGCGUCAUUUGUACCCUCAAGCUUUGCUUGGUGUUGGGCGUCUUGUCUCUAGCUUUGCUGGAGACUCGCCUUAAAGUAAUUGGCAGCCGGCCUACUGGUUUCGGAGCGCAGCACAAGUCGCACUCUCUAUCAGCAAAGGUCUAGCAUCCAUUAAGCCUUUUUUUCAACUUUUGACCUCGGAUCAGGUAGGGAUACCCGCUGAACUUUAAGCAUAUCAAUAAGCGGAGGAAAAGAAACCAACAGGGAUUGCCCUAGUAACGGCGAGUGAAGCGGCAACAGCUCAAAUUUGAAAUCUGGCUCUUUUAGAGUCCGAGUUGUAAUUUGCAGAGGGCGCUUUGGCUUUGGCAGCGGUCCAAGUUCCUUGGAACAGGACGUCACAGAGGGUGAGAAUCCCGUACGUGGUCGCUGGCUAUUGCCGUGUAAAGCCCCUUCGACGAGUCGAGUUGUUUGGGAAUGCAGCUCUAAAUGGGAGGUACAUUUCUUCUAAAGCUAAAUAUUGGCCAGAGACCGAUAGCGCACAAGUAGAGUGAUCGAAAGAUGAAAAGCACUUUGGAAAGAGAGUCAAACAGCACGUGAAAUUGUUGAAAGGGGAAGCGCUUGCAGCCAGACUUGCUUACAGUUGCUCAUCCGGGUUUCUACCCGGUGCACUCUUCUGUAGGCAGGCCAGCAUCAGUUUGGGCGGUAGGAUAAAGGUCUCUGUCACGUACCUCCUUUCGGGGAGGCCUUAUAGGGGAGACGACAUACUACCAGCCUGGACUGAGGUCCGCGCAUCUGCUAGGAUGCUGGCGUAAUGGCUGUAAGCGGCCCGUCUUGAAACACGGACCAAGGAGUCUAACAUCUAUGCGAGUGUUUGGGUGUCAAGCCCGAGCGCGUAAUGAAAGUGAACGGAGGUGGGAACCCGCAAGGGUGCACCAUCGACCGAUCCUGAUGUCUUCGGAAGGAUUUGAGUAAGAGCAUGGCUGUUGGGACCCGAAAGAUGGUGAACUAUGCUUGAAUAGGGUGAAGCCAGAGGAAACUCUGGUGGAGGCUCGCAGCGGUUCUGACGUGCAAAUCGAUCGUCAAAUUUGGGCAUAGGGGCG